rnacentral:rRNA from 1 species
CCUACGGGUGGCAGCAGUGAGGAAUAUUGGUCAAUGGCCGGAAGGCUGAACCAGCCAUGCCGCGUGAAGGUCAGUGCCCUAUGGGCGUUAAACUUCCUUUUUUCGGGAGCAAUAAUCGUCACGUGUGGCCAGACUAGAGUACCGUACGAAUAAGCAUCGGCUAACUCCGUUCCAGCAGCCGCGGUAAUACGGGGGAUGCAAGCGUUAUCCGGAUUUAUUGGGUUUUAAGGGUGCGUAGGCUGUGAGGUAAGUCAGCGGUGAAAUGCCCCCGCUCAACGGGGUGAAGUGCCAUUGAUACUGCCUUGCUGGAGUGCGGAUGCGGUGGGAGGAAUGUGUGGUGUAGCGGUGAAAUGCAUAGAUAUCACACAGAACACCGAUUGCGAAGGCAGCUCACGAAUCCGCGAUUGACGCUGAUGCACGAAAGCGUGGGUAUCAAACAGGAUUAGAUACCCUUGUAGUC